rnacentral:rRNA from 1 species
GACGAACCGUACGAACGUUAUUCGGAAUCACUGGGCUUAAAGGGUGCGUAGGCUGCGCAGCAAGUUGGGUGUGAAAUCCCUCGCUUAACCGAGGAACUGCGCCCAAAACUGCUGUGCUCGAGGGAGACAGAGGUGAGCGGAACUUAGGGUGGAGCGGUGAAAUGCGUUGAUAUCCUAAGGAACACCGGUGGCGAAAGCGGCUCACUGGGUCUCUUCUGACGCUGAGGCACGAAAGCUAGGGGAGCGAACGGG